UACGGAGGGUGCAAGCGUUAUCCGGAUUCACUGGGUUUAAAGGGUGCGUAGGCGGGCUUGUAAGUCAGUGGUGAAAGCCCGGAGCUCAACUCCGGAACUGCCGUUGAUACUGCAAGUCUUGAGUACACUUGAGGUGGGCGGAAUACAUCAUGUAGUGGUGAAAUACUUAGAUAUGAUGUAGAACACCGAUUGCGAAGGCAGCUCACUAAAUUGUAACUGACGCUGAGGCACGAAAGCGUGGGGAGCAAACAGG
rnacentral:rRNA from 1 species